rnacentral:misc_RNA from 1 species
GUGCCAUUUGAUGCUGCCAUGGAUCUCUAGGUCAUUGGAUGCCUAGGAUUAGAUCUCGAGUUGUCUGUAACCAAGAAUGGAGUGAGGCCAGUGAUCAUUUGGCAGCCACUUCGAUGCUCAAGUCAGUAAAGACAUUUGAGAGAAAUGGCAAUGAAGCAGUAUUAUUGAGAAUGUGUAAAAACGUACCUGAUUACUAUAGUAGGAGACAGCCA